GUCUAAGGCAAUAGUACUCUGAACACACCUGAUCUCGUCUGAUCUCGGAAGCUUAGCAAGGUCCGGCCUGAUUAGUACUUGGAUAUGAGAAAUCUACCAGUAUCAAAAUAUCUGUGGGCA
rnacentral:rRNA from 1 species